rnacentral:rRNA from 1 species
CAUGCAAGUCGAGCGGAGAUGAGGUGCUUGCACCUUAUCUUAGCGGCGGACGGGUGAGUAAUGCUUAGGAAUCUGCCUAUUAGUGGGGGACAACAUUCCGAAAGGAAUGCUAAUACCGCAUACGUCCUACGGGAGAAAGCAGGGGAUCUUCGGACCUUGCGCUAAUAGAUGAGCCUAAGUCGGAUUAGCUAGUUGGUGGGGUAAAGGCCUACCAAGGCGACGAUCUGUAGCGGGUCUGAGUGGAUGAUCCGCCACACUGGGACUGAGACACGGCCCAGACUCCUACGGGAGGCAGCAGUGGGGAAUAUUGGACAAUGGGGGGAACCCUGAUCCAGCCAUGCCGCGUGUGUGAAGAAGGCCUUAUGGUUGUAAAGCACUUUAAGCGAGGAGGAGGCUACUGAGACUAAUACUCUUGGAUAGUGGACGUUACUCGCAGAAUAAGCAUCGGCUAACUCUGUGCCAGCAGCCGCGGUAAUACAGAGGGUGCGAGCGUUAAUCGGAUUUACUGGGCGUAAAGCGUGCGUAGGCGGCUUUUUAAGUCGGAUGUGAAAUCCCCGAGCUUAACUUGGGAAUUGCAUUCGAUACUGGGAAGCUAGAGUAUGGGAGAGGAUGGUAGAAUUCCAGGUGUAGCGGUGAAAUGCGUAGAGAUCUGGAGGAAUACCGAUGGCGAAGGCAGCCAUCUGGCCUAAUACUGACGCUGAGGUACGAAAGCAUGGGGAGCAAACAGGAUUAGAUACNCCUGGUAG